rnacentral:piRNA from 1 species
UGCUGAGAUAUUUUGAAGGUGAGUAGG